AUUGAACGCUGGCGGCAGGCCUAACACAUGCAAGUCGAACGGUAACAGGAAGCAGCUUGCUGCUUUGCUGACGAGUGGCGGACGGGUGAGUAAUGUCUGGGAAACUGCUCGAUGGAGGGGGAUAACUACUGGAAACGGUAGCUAAUACCGCAUAACGUCGCAAGACCAAAGAGGGGGACCUUAGGGCCUCUUGCCAUCGGCUGUGCCCGGAUGGCAUUAGCUAGUAGGUGGGGUAACGGCUCACCUAGGCGCCGAUCCCUAGCUGGUCUGAGAGGGUGACCGGCCACACUGGAACUGAGACACGGUCCAGACUCCUACGGGAGGCAGCAGUAGGGAAUCUUCCGCAAUGGGCGAAAGCCUGACGGAGCAACGCCGCGUGAGUGAUGAAGGUCUUCGGAUCGUAAAACUCUGUUAUUAGGGAAGAAAAAAUGUGUAAGUAACUAUGCACGGCUUGACGGUACCUAAUCAGAAAGCCACGGCUAACUACGUG
rnacentral:rRNA from 1 species